CGAGUAAGCCGGACAGUCGCAUGCAUAAAACCGUGAGGUUGUGCAUGAGGAAAGUCCGAGCUCCACAGGGCAAGGAUAACGGGUAACACCCGCCGAAGGCGACUUCAGGAAAAGUGCAACAGAGAUAUACCGCCGCGUUUUCGCGGUAAGGGUGGAAAGGUGAGGUAAGAGCUCACCGGUGGACGGGAGACCGCUCCAUCCUGCAAACUCUAUCCGGAGCAACACCUGAUAGGGGAACUCAUGCCGGAUUUCCGGCAGAAAGGCUUGCCCGGCCGUUCCCGGGAAGGUGGCUAAAGGCGUGCGGCAACGUACGGCAUAGAUAGAUGACUGUCUAAGACAGAACUCGGCUUACAGACUUACUCGCAUG
rnacentral:RNase_P_RNA from 1 species